UACGUAGGGUGCGAGCGUUAAUCGGAAUUACUGGGCGUAAAGGGCGCGUAGGCGGCCUGCUAAGUCGGACGUGAAAUCCCUCGGCUCAACCGAGGAACUGCGUCCGAUACUGGUGGGCUUGAAUCCGGGAGAGGGAUGUGGAAUUCCAGGUGUAGCGGUGAAAUGCGUAGAUAUCAGGAGGAACACCGGUGGCGAAGGCGGGUCUCUGGGCCGAUACUGACGCUGAGGAGCGAAAGCGUGGGGAGCGAACAGG
rnacentral:rRNA from 1 species